ACUUCAACUCUUGUGGUCUCAAGGUCUAAACUCGCGGGUACUAGAACCACCUAUGAUGUAGAGUUACUAAAUAAAGAUGAAGCGAUGUCUCUGUUCUGUUUAUCUGCUUUCAAUCAGAAAUCAGUCCCUCCAGGAUUCAGCAAAAGUUUGGUCCAGCAGGUUGUUGGGGAGUGUAAAGGUCUACCUUUGUCUCUGAAAGUUGUUGGUGCUUCAUUGAAAAACCAAUCU